rnacentral:misc_RNA from 1 species
GAUGAAGAACGCAGCGAAAUGCGAAAAGUAAUGUGAAUUGCAGAAUUCAGUGAAUCAUCGAAUCUUUGAACGCACAUUGCGCCCGCCAGUAUUCUGGCGGGCAUGCCUGUCUGAGCGUCAUUUCAACCCUCACGCCCCUAGGGCGUGGUGUUGGGGAUCGGCCAGCACCCGCGAGGGCAAGGCCGUCCCCCAAAUCUAGUGGCGGACCCGUCGUGGCCUCCCCUGCGAAGUAGUGAUAUUCCGCAUAGGAGAGCGACGAGCCCCUGCCGUUAAACCCCCAACUUUCUCAGGUUGACCUCAGAUCAGGUAGGAAUACCCGCUGAACUUAAGCAUAUCAAUAAGCGGAGGA